rnacentral:rRNA from 1 species
UGAGCAAUCUGCCCUUCUCAUCGGAAUAAGCGUUGGAAACGACGUCUAAUGCCGAAUACGACCUCCUUUCGCAUGAUCGGAGGUGGAAAGCUCCGGCGGAGAAGGAUGAGCUCGCGGCCUAUCAGCUAGUUGGUGUGGGUAAUGGCCCACCAAGGCGACGACGGGUAGCCGGCCUGGAGGAGGGUGACCGGCCACACGUGGGACUGAGACACGGCCCAGACCUCCGUACGGGAGCAG